GAGCGGGACUCUGGUGGGAGGGGGGGGGUCCGGUGGAUUGGGGGAGAUGGGUGGUUGAGGCGGUCUGGCCGAUAGAUGGGGUUUGCCUUCCCCCUCGGGAAGUCGGGAAUGUAACGUUUGUUAAGCUGGAAGGGAAGGAGGUGGUCAGAGGCAGGCAGGAGUGCGGCCCGCCCUGCGGCAACCGGAGGGGGAGGGAGAAGAGCGGAAAAGGCUCGAAUCCGGAUGGAGCCAUUGCUCCUGCAGAGGGAGGAGCGCUUCCGGCUCACCUCUUGUCACUGAUUGGCCGCUUUUCCUCCCGCCGUGUGUGAAAACACAAAUGGCGUGUUUUGGUUGGAGUAAAGCGCCUGUCAGUUACAGCCUCGAGAGUGCGCAGCCGCUUGGGGACUCUCGCGUUGCUCCCUGGGUGGGAUGGGUAGGUAGUUGGGGUGGGGAGAGGGCUGGAGGAGCGGGCGCGGUCGACCUCCCGCGGUGGGGGGGGGGGGUGUCAGGGAAAGUGCCUCCCGCGCGGGCGUCUGGCCACCCGCCCCUUCCUUGGAAGGAGUCGGUUUACCCGCCGCCUGCUAGGCUUCGGCGUCUGAUUGGUUACUGAAGCCCGGGGAACGGCCCCUUGCCAUUGGCUCGGGUCCCAAAUGAGCGAAACCACUGAGCGGUUCGGUAGGGGUGGCGGGGAGGCGGUCGUUGGUACGGUCCUUCCCAAGGCCCAGCGCCGCAGUGUCUGGCCCUGCGCCCCUGCGCAACGUGGCAGGAAGCGCGCGCUGGAGGCGGAGGCGGGCUGCUGGGUUGAGGCUUCUGGGUGGCGGCGACGGCGGCUCCGCCCCGGGCGCCCGCCACCUUAAGGACGAGACAAGCCGGAUCUGCUCUCGGACUCGCGGGGGUGGGGGAAAGGAGCGGGGGUCAGUCUUGCUGGUUUGUGGGAGAGAGGUGCGUGUUCUCCAAAAAUCGGCGCGAGCUGCAAUCCUGAGGGAUCUGCAGUGGAGGAGGCGGAGUGAAGGCCGCACCCUUCUCGGUAGGGGGAGGGGAGUGCUGCAAUACCUUUAUGGGAGUUCUUUGCUGCCUCCUGUCUCCUAAGGACCGCCCUGGGCCUAGAAGAAUCCCUCCCUCCCCCGCGAUCUCGUCAUAGCCUCCAUGUCAAGUCGCUGCUUCUCGAUUGUGGGCGGGACUCUUGCCCAGGCUUAACCUGGUGCCUGGGCGUUGUCCUGCAGGGAGACUGAGCAGGUGUAAGAUUUCUCUCUUCCCACAGACUUGAGUUUGUGUCACAAAGUAAUUAUAAUAGGGGUGGAGGAGGGAAAUGGGAGUCCAGGCGUUCACCUUGGGCUGAUUUUAUGCAGCAAAACUGCGUGUUAUUACAACUUCAGGAUCCUUUUUGUAGUAUUUUUCCUGUAGAUAAAAGGAAAUAGAUUAAAGGCAUGACUAUCAGAGGUUUUUACCACCUUUGAAGACCUUGCUUACACCACCGAAAUAGAGCAUUUCAGAUUAAAUAGUAAUCUUAAAUAUUUAAGACCCCUUCCCUUGCAUCCCUAGGGUUAAGGAUCUUAGCAAUUCACACUCCUACUUUGAGACUAUUUUGUAUUUGUUGUACUUGCUCUUUCAGCCCCCAGACAUAACAUUGGCUUUCUCCUGUCCUGUUUUUUGCAGCCAGGUGAGUUGUGAAACCAGACAGAUUGGAUGUACCACCAAUUAAGGCUACACAGUUUGAGCAGAGGCCUCACCCUUACCCAGCAAAUCAUUUAUUCCUCCUUUAUGGAUUUUCUGGAAUGUUUACCUUGUUUUACAUUUUAUCUUUGUCCUCAACUAGGAUUCUAUUCCUUGAUCCUCUUCACAGUCCAGAUGACCUUGAGUACUGCCUUACUGAGAAUUUGAUAUGAGGUUCAGCAAUAUCUCCCUUUUACCUCCUUUGAAUGUCUCUUAAUCCACCUUUAUUUAUUUUUCAUCAGUUAGUAACUGGGCUUGAUUGCCUUAAUGUUGAUAGCUUCCAAACUGGUGUCUCUGCCUCCUGGUAGCAUCUUCUGUGUUGUUGGGACAAUUGUCCUAACAUAGAGGUAGAGCCAAUAAUGACUGAUGCAACUCUUAACUGGCUUCUAACUACUCACAGGAUGAAUUAUGAAUUCAUCAACAUGAACGCGAUGUACAAGGUCCCUCAAUUGGCUUUUGUCAACAACUUGUUCAUUUGCUACAGUUUUCUACACAGACCUCUCGAGUCAUUCUGGACUGAUCGUUUACCCAAAUCAUAGUGACGUUGUCAUACCUCUUUGUAGGCUGGUUCCUUAUGGAACAGUGCCCUCGGCGCUCCUUACUUUUCAAAUACCCUCUCCCCUAUGAUCUUGACUUCUGUGAUCUAUCAUCCUAUAAGCCAAACACCUCUAAAGAAAGGUUAGCAGUGCUUUCUCCUGAUCUCAGCAGGUUGAAUCAGCAUUUCUCAGGUUGUUAUUGCUUGUUUAAAUUCUCUUAACUAUUCAGAGCUUCUUGAGGGCACAGGUUCUUGUUGAGUCUUGUACCACUAAGCUGCUAGAAUGUGCCUUGAUGCCUUGCCAAUCCUAAGAAAAAUGGAAUGGGUGACAUGUAGAUGUCUUUAUAAGGUUUGAUAGGUUAUUGAUCUCUGAAUAGUUUUGUAAGCUUGUGCUCUAGAUUAGUACUGUCCAAUAGAAUCUGCAGGGAUGGGAAUGUUCUGCCUUUUUGCCAACCAAUGUAGUAGCCACUAACCCUAUAUUACUGUUGCACUGGAAAUGUGGCUAGUGUGACUAAAGAACUGAAUUUUCAACUUUAUGUAAUUUAAAUUGCCACAGUAUAAAUUGUAGCUGUGGCCACAAACUUGUGUUGUGGGUUGCUGAAUACUUAAUGUGAAUGUUGAUAACUUUCUCUUAAUGCUGAGCACUAAGGAAGCAAAAGUUGGCCUAUUUAGUUUAUUUUUAUCUUCCCUGCUUGUUUUACCUUUAUCUGUACACUUUAGCUGUACUUAGCUGAGAGCCAAAUUCAACAAGCCGUUACUUUAAACCUUCCUUGGACAACAGUAUGUUGAGAAAGCAAAGCAGGCGUUGACUAGUUUGGAUUUCAAAAACCAAUGUGUAAUGAAUUUUAGGAAAGUGGGAUUUCAUUAAACCAUAAUAGUGACAGAAGUUUAGCUAGGAAUAGGGACUAUAUCUGAUGCCAAUGAAACCAGGCCUAAAUUUCAGUCCUAUAAGGUUUCGUUUUUGGAGAAACUUCAUCAGAGGAGGCCAGGGCCUAAGUGUCAUAUGCCUGUCAUAUGGAAGUUUCAUCCUGAUAAAGUGUAAAUUAAUAGAUAUAUCCUAACACCAAAAUAUUUGAUUUAUCUGCUAAUAUAACCUGUUGUAAAUGACAAUUUUUUUACUUAAAAUUUCUUACACUUAUAAGACCCUUAGGAUGGGAAUCUUAAAACCGGUCAGUGCACACCAGUUACUGUUUAGUGCAGACUUCCAGUCCCAUACCCAAAGAUUCUGAAUCCAGUUAAGGCAGAGGGGUGGGAGGCACUGGAAUUCCGUACCGAGUUCCUUAUUUCCUUCUGAUAUUGGGGACUCAGGGACCACACUGGAUAUACAGCCCCUGGGCUAUAGUACACCUAUAUAUCUGACAAAAAUGGUUGCAGUUUCAGAGAGACCUCUAAUAUUUUGUGUGUUCUUUACUUUGUAAUUUUUUCCCUCAACUUUUUUUUUCCCUUUCAAAAAACUGAAUGAAUGGAAAAACAUGUUGAGACAAUGAGUACUGAUGUUUAAUACAUUUUGGAAACUUGCAGGUCAGAUUGUUUUUUUUUGUAAAACAGAUACUAAAUAUUCCAAAUACAUUUUUAAAAAACCAUAGUAUUGCCUUUCUUGUCUGUUUUCCCAAUAAAUGCAUUCCUCAGGGACUUAUUUUUGAUUCCCCAAUGCCUGAACACAGAGCUGGGUACUUAAUAAAUGUUGGUUUUAUUAAUUUAUAUGUAAAAUUGGUUUUCAAAUAAUAGCAAAGUCUACAAAACACAGACACAUGUCUCCUUUUAUGGAGAAAUUUUAGGGUCAUACUUAACCCAAGUCUCAUUCUAUUUAUAGAAGAGACUACUGCAUCAUGGUCUCUGAAUGCAUCUGUCCAAUGUUGAGCUCUUCCUUGGGUUUCCUGUAUAAACCAUUGCACUUAUCCUCUUCCUGUGCUUCACUUCCUUUGGCUUUAUUUUUUAAUAAACCAGCUAUCUAUCUCCUUUUGUAAUAGAGCCAUGUUCUGUGUUUGUUUUUUGUUUUUGUUUUUUUACAGAGCAUGUGAGCAGGAGAGAGGGGCAGAGGAAGAGAGAGAAUCUUAGGCUCCACUUUCAGCACGAAGCCUGAUGCAGUGCUUGGGGCUUUAUCCCACAACCCUGGGAUCACCACCUGAGCCAAAAUCAAGAGUUGGAUGCUCAACCGACUGAGCCACCCUAUAUGACCCCAAGCCAUAUUGUUUCUUAUGCUUCUAGGACAAAAGUAUAUUGAACACUUCUUACUUUGAGAAAGUUGAAGGUUUUGUAAAGGCUUUUUACAUUUUUUUAGAUUGGCAAAAUUUGAGCCACAUAAUGUUCCUGCCAUGUAUUUUUUAUGCAAAGAGGAGGUUUGGUAUCAUUAUGCUUUGCAACUGUUAAUCCAGAAUUUGAUAGGGAUCAGCAUCACAAGGAUAAGACUACUUUGACUAUUUUUAGGCCAAUCUUAUGUAGAGCACUUUGGCAGGCUGGGAAUUUUUUGUUAUUUUACCUACUGGCAUACUACUAUAUGCUGGAGGACAUAUUUCAGAAGACUUUUUUUUCCUUAUCCAUGACUCCCCAUUCUUGAUGGAGUGGGUAAGAAACUGGAUUAUUAGAGAGCUGUUAGUAGCAUGGAAUUAAACAUUGAGGUUUAUUUUAUCCAAUGGGCCAGGGUUGAACCUGAGUGUCCUGAUAUCGUGAGAGCACAUGUGCAAGUGUGGGAGUGUCACAGAGGGAAAGAGAAUCCCAAGCAGGCUCCACACUGUCAGCACAGAGCCCUACAUGAACUGCAAGAUGAUGACCUGAGGCAAGAUCAAGAGUCAGACGCUUAACCAACUGAGUCACUCAGGCACCCCUGUAUUUUUUAAAGAAUGGGUCACUGGGUUUAAAAAAUUGUAAGACUACUUGUUCAACCCACACCCACUAUCUAUGUCUAAAAAUGGAAAAAAGAUUAAACAGUAAUAUAUUGCACAGUUCUCAUAGGAAGAAUCAACUGCAAAGAAACUAAGAAAAAGUGACAGAAAUAUCUUAAAGGAUGAGUUACUAUAUUAUAUGGGCUGGAGAAACAUUCCACAAUAGCUGAGAAACUUUACAAACAGCCAUAUACACAGUUGACAUUCCUGAUUGUCUGCUGGUUGAAAAGUAAAAAUCACGGCAGUGCCAUUUUUUUCAACAGUACAUGGUCAUGUUAAACACUGUGUUGCAGACUUGAAGUCUGGGUUAAUACCUCGCCUGUAGAAGUAUAUUUAAGCCUGAGAAACAUGGCUGGGCUUGUUAUUUUGCAUGUAUUUGUCUUGCAUCAGCUAGUCAGAGACUAUUCUGUCAAAGCUUGGCAACAAACCCAACAUGUCCUAAACCAGCUAAAGUGUUGAGUAAUUUAAUUAUUUUAUUUAGUAAUCUCUACACCAGUGUGGGGCUUGAGCUCACAAACCCUGAGAUGAAAAUUUGUAUCCUCUGUCGACUGAGCCAGCCAGGCAUCCCUUUAACAACUCUUUAAAAUCCUCUGGUUUAUCCUGAUAUUUUCACUAACAGUGAAAAAGCAAAAGUUGGUCAAGCUGCCUGCAUCUCGGCAUUAAUCAAGGCAGUGGCAUCAAACUAUAGUAUUGACUGCCAUGCAUUGGAAGGGGAAGGGGUGGUAGGAGUUUCAGUUUUCCUGUGAAAACAGUAAAAUUAUUUUAUGAAACCUGGACCUUGAGUAUGGAACUUUAUUAUUUUUUUUAAUGUGUAAUUUGUUGUCAAUUUGGUUUCCAUACAACACCCAGUGCUCAUCCCAAUAGGUGCCCUCCUCAAUGCGCAUCACCCACUUUCCCCUCUCCCGCACCACCCAUCAACCCUGUUCUCAGUAUUUAAGAGUCUCUUAUGGUUUGCCUCCUUCCCUGUCUUAGUAUGAGUACUGAAAUGCAAAGUUUGCAUAUAGGACUUAAGCUUGUUUAAAGUACAAGUGGUUGUCUUAUGAAAAAGCGGUCAUGUGAUUGACUUGCAGGCUGAAUUAGUGAUUUUCUUUUCACAGCAUUUUUACUUCAAUGACUGUCAGAGUUGGCUAUCUGGCUGACAUUUAAAAAAUUUUUUUUAACAUUUAUUUAUUUUUGAGACAGAGAGACAGAGCAUGAACGGGGGAGGGUUAGAGAGAGAGGGAGACACAGAAUCUGAAACAGGCUCCAGGCUCUGAGCUGUCAGCGCAGAGCCUGAUGCAGGGCUCGAACUCAGAGCGCGAGAUGGUGGCCUGAGCCAAAGUCAAGAGGCCUAACCGACUGAGCCACCCAGGCGCCCCUGGCAGACAUUUUUAAGUGUAAAGAAAUACCUUUCAAAGAAAAACAGUUGACAGCACUUGUCAGUGAUAAACUCAAAGUCUGAAGUGAAAAUUAGAAUUUGGGAAAACUUAUACCCACUAUCAGGAGCUUCUCUUCCUAAUGAUUAAAGGAACUUUGGGUUUUUGGUUUUUUUUUUUAAUGAGCUAAGUAGUGAUAUAAAUAUGAUUUGUAGAAAUUAUAAGCUGGACCAGGGCUCGGGAGGUUUAUGUAACUCAGUAAACCGUAAUUUCCAAAUGACCAAUACAUGAAAUGACAAAAAAAAGUUGCAAAUAAGUUAACAUAUCUCAACCAAUUGAAUGUGAAGAUAAAAAUCCAGUGCCUUCUAUUAAGGCAGACAUGUAAAUGAGUUGGAAUAAUGUAAAACAGCAUCACUGUCGAAAAUAAAGUUACUUCUGUGA